CUGCGAAUGGCCAUUAUAUCAGUUAUAGUUUAUUUGAUGAGAAACUAAUUGGAUAACCGUAGUAAUUCUAGAGCUAAUACAGGUAUAAAGUCUUGUAGACUGCAUUUAUUAGAAUGAAAACCAUAGGUUUCGGCCUAUUCGUGAGUAAUAAUAACUAAUCAUAUCGUAUGCUUAUGUAACGAUGUGUCUUUCAAGUUUCUGCCCUAUCAGCUUUCGAUGGUAGUGUAUUGGACUACCAUG
rnacentral:rRNA from 1 species